GAGGCGGGGAUUGCGGCGGCGGGGAUGUGGAGGCGUUGAAUAGGUCAGACCACGAUACGUUUUCACUCCUCAGGCGUUUGGAGCCACGUUAUUGGAACUAGCUGGCGUCGUCAUGGUCACCUGGAACAAGUCAGUCAGUGUUGGGUAGACCUCCAAGCCACUACCACCAUCACCAUCACCACUACCAGUACGUGGAGCGAAAGAUGAAACGGUGUGUGUCUAGUGAGGUGGGCGUCCCCUGGAGAUGUGUACUGAGUGCGUAAACCUGGAAGGAGAGAUGGAUAAGCGUGAAGGAAUCUUGCUCUGUAGGUGUUAUUUUUCAUCACAAUGGUUCUCCUCCUCCUCCUCCUCCUCCUCCUCCUCCUCCUCCUCCUCCUCCUCCUCCUCCUCCUUCU